GCAUUUGUGUGUGUGUGCACUGCAUGUGGUAUUGUGGUACAGAUUUGUUAUAAUUUAUCAAUUUAUUUUCAAAAUUUUUAUCCGAAAGACGUAAUAAAUAAAAUAAAAUGGCAGAUCCAGAAUUGGAAGCUCUUCGUAAACAACGUAUGGCUCAAUUGCAAUCACAAUAUAAGGGCAAUGAUGCUGGUAAUCAACAAGCCAAUGAAGAAAAAAGGCAACAAAUAGAGGAUAUGAAAAAUGGAAUUCUAUCUCAAGUUCUUGAUCAGUCGGCGAGAGCUAGAUUAAAUACUCUUUCGCUUGGUAAACCGGAAAAGGGAAAAAUGAUCGAAGAAAUGAUAGUAAACAUGGCGAAACGAGGUCAACUUCCUGGUAAACUCGGCGAGAAGGAAUUAAUUAGUCUUCUGGAGAGUGUUAGUGAGCACACAAAAAGGACAACGACUAUCAAGUUCGAUAGGCGCAGAGCUGCUUUGGAUUCGGACGACGAUUUGUAACAUUUCGCAAAAAAGACUGCCCAUAUUUUUAAUACUACGCUUCAUUUAAUUUCCAGAAUUUCACGGAAAAUGUCAAAUUUAUUUCGAUGUUCAUCUUUAACAACGACGAUAAUACACAAGAGGAGUGUUGCAGACGAAAAUGAACACUGACCGCUGACGCACCCCUGACUCCCGCGUCGAAUCAUCACAACUUUUCUGGCAAUUAUUUCUUUUUCAAAAUAAUUAUUUACAAUUAUUUUUUAAAAAUUCUAACAAACUUAUUAAUUUAAUCGAUUAUUACUUAAUAUUUACGAUCUAUUUACGCUUGUGUGCGAUAAUUGUUUUUUUAAUUUUUAUACUUAAUGCUCAAUUUAUUUUAUUAAAAUUAUGAAAAUAUUAAUUAAAUAAUUAACAUAUUUUUAAUUUACACAUUCUAAUUUAUUGAAAUUGGAUAAUUAAUAUUAACAAAGUAGUUUAACUAACGGAUGUUUCAAAUAUGUAACAAAUAUACGAAUAGAUUAAAUUUGUUCAUAAAAUAAAUAAUUUAUGUAAAAAAAAA